CAUGAGAAGAGUUUUCUGCUGGGGAACACCUUGUUUGAUUAAGUUGAUGGCCAUUGUGGCUGGUGCGGCACUGUGCCUGAUGAUGUGCUGGGCAGGAAUCUGGUAUUGCUGGACGAGAAAAUGGUGCUCCUGUGUAUCUCCAGAAGACCAGCCUAAAAACUGAGGCAAUGACAACCUGACCGUUUAUCCCAGCUCUUCACUUCCACCCCUCUUUGACCUGCCGUGGUUGCAUGAGCAUCAUGAGGCAUCCCAAAACCCACCCCUCCUCAAUGAGACCCUCUGCCCCUGAGCCCCCUGGUCCUGUUCCCUGGCCAGGACUGAAGGUGGGCAGCCCUUGUCUGCCAGGGCAGGGCUUGGCCCACAUUUUAUAUUUAAAUAAAGAAAUAGAGUUUUCGCA